CCGGCUCAAUUUGCAGAGCAGUGGACUCUUAAUCCAUGGGUUCGGGGUUCGAGUCCCCGAGGCCGAG
rnacentral:tRNA from 1 species